ACACAUUACUAUAAAUUGAUUGUUCAACUCUUUACAUUAUUACUUUCUUACAACAUCGUCCUAUAGAACUUGUUGCUUUUAGCAUAGUUGGAGAUGUUGUAAGAAAUUAAUAACGUAAAGGGUUGAGCAGUCUAUUUGUUUAGCAAACGCUGGACAUUCGUGUAGUAAACAUGUUUUUGGAAGCGUGUGAAAUAAUGAGGAUGAUUCAGACUUCUGUACACUGAAUAAACCUCAGUGUGUCUGCACAAACUACACUAUCAGUAUUGACUUUGAAGAAAUACCACUGAAUAUUUUGUUUGGGAAGCGCAAUUGUCAUGAGGGGAAUGAAUACUUAAUGACCUUAAAACUGGGUGCUCUUAUUAUUAUUGUAUUGGAUGUCACAUUCUCGUGUUACAAUGUUUGUAUUUUAAAACAUUUCUAAAACAGUUCUGAUUUCACAGUAAAACUUUAGAAUUUUAUAUGGAUGAUUUGCUGAUGUUGCAGUGACUGAUAUGUUUAGACUUUGGGUCAGGUAAAGGGCAGCGCUGGACUGUAUUCUUCAAAAGUGUAUUUCUAAAAGUGCGCCCUAAUGACGCCAGUGGCAACUGCAGUGUGCGUUAUAAAUGACUGGAUGCUGUUCAAACCUCAUGCCAGAUUUUUGUCACUGGGACUGGAUCGCAAUACAUCACAACAAAGGUGUCAACGGGCUACUCCAGCAUGAACCAGUCAUGGUAAGGCAUCUGUCCUAGAAGAAUUCUGUGCUCUGGAAUCUGCUGCAGACAAGCCCACAUCAGAUCACAGCAUUCUGUGAAAAACAAAAGGAGAGGUCUCAUCAUCUGCUGUAAGACUCAGUGCAGAAUCAUCAGCGGAGUCAUCUUGUGAAACCUUCUGAUUCAGUGAAGGCUCCGA